rnacentral:tRNA from 1 species
GGGCCCGUAGCUCAGUCUGGUAGAGCACCGGGCUCUUAACCCGGGUGUCGAGGGUUCAAAUCCCUCCGGGCUCG